CCUACGGGUGGCUGCAGUGGGGAAUAUUGGACAAAGGGCGAAAGCCUGAUCCAGCCAUGCCGCGUGUGUGAAGAAGGCCUUCGGGUUGUAAAGCACUUUCAGUGGGGAAGAAAGCCUUGGGGCUAAUACCCUCGAGGAAGGACAUCACCCACAGAAGAAGCACCGACUAACUCCGUGCCAGCAGCCGCGGUAAUACGGAGGGUGCGAGCGUUAAUCGGAAUUACUGGGCGUAAAGCGCGCGUAGGCGGUCUGAUAAGCCGGUUGUGAAAGCCCCGGGCUCAACCUGGGAACGGCAUCCGGAACUGUCAGGCUAGAGUGCAGGAGAGGAAGGUAGAAUUCCCGGUGUAGCGGUGAAAUGCGUAGAGAUCGGGAGGAAUACCAGUGGCGAAGGCGGCCUUCUGGACUGACACUGACGCUGAGGUGCGAAAGCGUGGGUAGCAAACAGGAUUAGAUACCCCAGUAGUC
rnacentral:rRNA from 1 species